rnacentral:rRNA from 1 species
ACGAACGCUGGCGGCGUGCCUCAUCCCUGCCAGUAGAACGCACAGUUUAUACCGUAGCUUGCUACACCAUAACCUGUGAGUUGCGAACGGGUGAGUAACGCGUAGGUAACCUGCCUGGUAGCGGGGGAUAACUAUUGGAAACGAUAGCUAAUACCGCAUAAUAUUAAUUAUUGCAUGAUAAUUGAUUGAAAGAUGCAAUUGCAUCACUACCAGAUGGACCUGCGUUGUAUUAGCUAGUAGGUGAGGUAACGGCUCACCUAGGCGACGAUACAUAGCCGACCUGAGAGGGUGAUCGGCCACACUGGGACUGAGGCACGGCCCAGACUCCUACGGGAGGCAGCAGUAGGGAAUCUUCGGCAAUGGACGAAAGUCUGACCGAGCAACGCCGCGUGAGUGAAGAAGGGUUUCGGAUCGUAAAGCUCUGUUGUAAGAGAAGAACGGGUGUGAGAGUGGAAAGUUCACACUGUGACGGUAUCUUACCAGAAAGGGACGGCUAACUACGUG